AGAUGUCUGGAAGAAACUCUCCCACAGACAUCGUCUUUCGAGUAAUAAAUCAUUUAUUAAUUAAAAAAAUGAGAAAAUAUUUUAUGACUCUGCUUAAAUUUAUCUGACUUAUGACAUACAGUGAUUUCAGAGUGAAGGAAUUUGGAUUUCAUGUGAAGGAGGGAAUGAAAGAGUUGCAGAAAUGCAGCUUGAAGUCAACUUCCUUAUGAAGUGUCGAAACUACCUUGUAUCCGCCAGGAGAGGGAGCCUGGCAAGAAGAGCCGAAGCUAACCUGUCUCACAUCAGGUGUUAGAUGUUACAGCGGUAGAAAUUCGAAUUUCCACCCGUUUCAGUAGUUUUAUGGCAUGAAACAGGGUCUUGGAGAAAGACAGAGUUACUCAGCUACAGGGAUGGACAAAAGAAUAAAUGGAUCCCCAGCCUCCUGCGUGCCAGCCCACUGCUCCAUUGACUGCAGCAAACUCUUUGUUGAUAGGUGCAGAAUGGCACAGAAAACGAUGACACGUCAGAAAUGCCCAUUUGGGGGAUGAUUUUAGUCUUUAUUAUUCAGUGACAAAGGACAGGCUGAAUACCUCUCUCUGUUGGGCAGUGAAUGUGGGGUGAGUGGACCUUUCUUCUUGUUACUGCCAUGAGCUCCACAAUGCUACUUGGCAUUCCCCAUCCUUGUCAUUAUUCAGUGGAUGGCAAAAUAGACUUGCUGACUUCUGGACUGACCUACUAGGCUUUAUGUUUUAUUGAUGCCCUAUGCUUUUCAUGACUUCAGAAUUCUCCAUUUGCUUUAAUUAGUUGAACCUGAGUUCACAAACUCAGAGACCUUUUGAAACAUUUGGCAGGCGGCAUGAACGUGUCACAGCAAAAGCCUGUGAAGUGCACAAUAUAAUCCAUGUUGAAAACACAGGUGCGUUUUACAGAAACCUUUUUUAGUCUUGAAUAUUGAAGAGAAAAGGAUGUGAGAAAAAAGUCUGCCUACUUCUCUGUCAAAUAUUCCAAAGGAAACUCAGGGUAAGCUUUGCCACCUAACAAAGCUUUCAUUGAACUUUCAUUGAUUUAAAUCAGAAUGGAAGUAGUCCAGGUAUCAAAAAUCUCUGCCCGACUAGCAAAUUUCUUGGUGUCUUGUCCAAAGUACAUACAGCAAUGUCUCUGUUACUCCCCCUGUUUGGUCCAGAGAGGUCAAUAUGCUACACAGGAUAUGGACAUACAAUGAAAAGCAGAUGAGUUCCCAUGGCACACAAGCUGCUGUCUGCCCACUGCACACUGCCUCUGUACAGGGACACGCUCACUAUAGGUCGCGUGCUUGCCAUAUGUGCUCUUUGUUAUCUCAGGAGGAUAGUUUAAGCUAAGCCAUACAGCUUCAUAGCUGGAAGAGGCUUACAGCAAGCAGUCAGUCAUGUAUUGAAACCAAUGGAUAAUAACUUGUUGGUUUUGAAUUGUUUACUGUAUUCUAAUUGACAUAUUUAAUGAGUACUGAGUAAGGGCUGAGGCAUGUGUGGUAUUGCACUGCAGGGGCUCUGUGUUUCAGUACUUUCUUGCCCUUAUAACAAGUGCUGAAUGAAAGCAUGCUGUUGAUGUAUGGACAAUCUGUUAUUCAAGUGUCGACUGGUGUACCACGUAUAAUUUUAGGUCUAUCGGACAUUGUAAUGUAUUUUUAAUUGCCUGUAGGAUAUUUUCAAUCCAAUCAAUUCUCAGUGUUAGUUCACCAACAAGUAGCCAUAAGGAAAACAAUCAUCUCCCGUGAGCCUUGUGGGUUCUGCCUCUGGUGUCACUGAUCUAAAUCAACACAGUAGUCACUGAGCACCGAAAGCGUAGGUACAAAGCUCUGGAGGCUUUAUGGAAAUACAGUGGAAAAAAAAUAAAAGGUCGUGAUCAAAAGAACA
rnacentral:lncRNA from 1 species